rnacentral:tRNA from 1 species
GCCUGUAUGGCGGAAUUGGUAGACGCGAUAGACUCAAAAUCUAUUUUCAGUAAUGGAGUUCCGGUUCGAGUCCGGAUACAGGCACCA